CUGGUGGUGGAUGAGGAGAUACCCCCUGACUAUCGGUUAAAGAUGGAGUGAAUGUGAAAGGCUACACAGCUUGGUCAUUGCUUGACAAGUUUGAAUGGGACGAGGGCUAGUCCGAAAGAUUUGGCCUGUACUAUGUGGACUUUAUUGAAAGCUGGAAAAGAAAGGCACUGGAAACAUGCACCUCAAGCAAACAGCUCCUUGCGGCAGCUAGAAGAAAAUCCAAGGAAAAUAAGGAACAUGCAGAUAUGCCAAAGAUCCACAUAUCAGCCACAUGAAGAUGGUCAUUCUCCUCACUGCAGUCUCUCAUGUUCCUGCUUAGAGCACGAAUAUAAAAACAGACUGCUUUACAUUUACACAACUAUAUAUAUUUUUUCACAUCGCAUGUGUCCGAAAAUUUCUUUUUUAUUAAUUAUUAUUAAUAAUGAUGACAUGCUGAGACUUGUUUACAAUGUAAUGUCAAAUAAAACGGUCCACAAACGUACAUCUGUGUUCAUGAAUUGUUGGACCAUCCAAACAUCUCUCAACAAAUUACUCAGAGGUUCAGUUGAGGUUUGGAUGUUUGAUUAUGAGGUGAGAAAAACAAAGCUUCUUUUUGAAAACCCUAUUAACAAUGGCAUAUGUGGCAAACAGACAAUCAAAUAAAUAUUAUAAUAAAUGUGUUUGUGAAACCUUUUGGGACUUACAAUACAAUACUCAACGUUAUAUACAUACAUACAU